rnacentral:ncRNA from 1 species
GACCGUGUCAGGCGGGGAGUUUGUUUGGGGCGGUGCAUCUGUCAAAGAGUAACGCAGGUGUCCCAAGGUGAGCUCAGCGAGGACGGAAACCUCGUGUAGAGCAAAAGGGCAAAAGCUCACUUGAUUUUGAUUUUCAGUAGGAAUACAGACCGCGAAAGCGGGGCCUAUCGAUCCUUUUGAACUUGCGAGUUUCAAGCAAGAGGUGCCAGAAAAGUUACCUCAGGGAUAACUGGCUUGUUGGUACUUGUGUUCGCUGUCGGGUUUGUUGGUACUUCGUGCUCGCUGUCGGGUUUGUUGGUACUCGUGCUCGCUGUCGAGUU